CCGGUAUCUCUGGAAUGCAGAGUAAGAUCGAAAGGCGAUAGGGAUGUUUGCUGCCUGGACAUCAGACACGGGGCCGGGCUGUGCGCUCCCGCAGGAACUUGUUCUUGCUGGCAGCGUGCGUAAAAGUAUCUACAGGGGAUUCGAAGCCUUUUCAGAACCAUGUGACGUGUAAGGUUUUGGCCAUGUGAUGCUCCGUUUACUAUGCAUUAUAAAAAGAGGACCUGA